AACGCUGAGGGGCGAACAAGAAAAGCAAAAAAGGGACAAAGUGAGAGAAGGGCAAGGAAAAGAAAAGGCUCUGCAUAGGCCUCGCCUGCGCACCUGGAGAGCAGGUAAACAAGUGAGUCCUUGGCGGAGAGUUUACCUGCGAGGGACGCGAACAACGGCAGCCCAAGCCGGUACCUGCGGCGUGGCCAACAGAACGGGAAGUAAACCGUACCCACGACCCGGAGGUAACAGGCCUCCACCUUACAGAGGCAGAAAGCACUUCCGGCACUAGACUGAGUGAAUUUCUGUCAGCCACCCUACCUACGCGUACGCCAAGCUAGGGAAACCAGUUUCAGUGUGCUAAAUACAGACGCUUGAAGUGAAUCUGAAAGUGGCAAGAAGUUGAUGAACAGGAUGUCUUCACCAGCAACUAACAAGCAUGGAAUAAUAAAGGAAACCAUAAGCAAAAGUAGGAAGAGAGAGAGCAUGAACAACCAUCAGCCAUGGAUAAAUUUACUUAGCUGUUCAUUGCCUAAUAUGUUAUGCCUUUACUGAAGCAAGCACAAAGCUUAUCGGCCAGAUAAUUAUCCUGCACUGACAUGCACAAAACUAAGAAAGAAAUGUCACUCUUUUUGAUUGAUCAAUAAAGAUGUCAAACAUCGUGUGCGAAAAUAAUCUCAGGAA